rnacentral:lncRNA from 1 species
UUGUGCCUGCCUACAUUCCUGGGCCCCGCCCCUCCGCUUCGGCCCCGCCCCGGCCGGCCGCCAUGUUGGUCCUUCUGCCCAAGUCUCUCUAGCUGUAGGAGCUCUAGCUGGUUACCGCUCUCGACGCUGCCGAAUCUCUGGCCCUCUUUCUGCCCUGGUUGCACCCAGGCGGGCUGGCCAACAGCUCCCGGGGUGCCCUGUGUGUGCCUGCAAGUGCCCCGUGUGCCUGAAGGCUCUUUCACGUGAGAGAAAGUUCCUGCACUCCUCUGAUGAGCCUGGCAUUGGUGAAACACCUUUGUACGGUCAUCUGAGUAAAUAUUCCAGCAGCCCUCGGAGAUAACGAUGUUUGAACUGAACUACUAGGGAUUCUG